UUUCCGUAGGUGAACCUUCGGAAGGAUCAUUACCGUAACGUGGGCUUCGGCCAGCGUUUAUCACCCUUGACUUUGAGCACCUUUUUCGUUUCCUCGGCGGGUUCGCCCGCCAGCGAGGACCCCAUUAAACCUUUGUAAUAGCAGUAUUUGUCUGAAAACAAAAGCAAUAAUCAAAACUUUCAACAAUGGAUCUCUUGGUUCUGGCAUCGAUGAAGAACGCAGC
rnacentral:misc_RNA from 1 species